UACGGCGGGAGCUAGCGUUGUUCGGAAUUACUGGGCGUAAAGCGCACGUAGGCGGCUUUGUAAGUUAGAGGUGAAAGCCCGGGGCUCAACCCCGGAAUUGCCUUUAAGACUGCAUCGCUUGAAUCCGGGAGAGGUGAGUGGAAUUCCGAGUGUAGAGGUGAAAUUCGUAGAUAUUCGGAAGAACACCAGUGGCGAAGGCGGCUCACUGGACCGGUAUUGACGCUGAGGUGCGAAAGCGUGGGGAGCAAACAGG
rnacentral:rRNA from 1 species